rnacentral:lncRNA from 1 species
GUGGGGAUGAAGAGGAAAGCUGCUGAUGAGACCCCAGGCCUGACAAAGGCGCUGUUGGAUGUCUUCACUGGGGUGAGGCUCUACUUGCCACCUUCUACACCAGACUUCAGACGGCUCAAACGUUACUUUGUGGCAUUCAACGGGGACCUGGUACAGGAAUUUGACAUGGCCUCAGCCACACAUGUGCUGGGUAACAGGGACAAGAACACUGAUGCCCAGUUGGUCUCUUCAGAGUGGAUUUGGGCAUGCAUCCGGAAACGGAGGCUGGUAGCUCCCUGCUAGGACUUUGCUUUUCCUGCUAACUCUACCGAUACACGAGGCUCAGCCUGACGGGUAGAGGCCUGUUCGCCAAGCAGCGCACCUUCUCACAUCCUCCGCCUCUUUAUGGUCUCUUCUGGAUCGGGAGUUAGCUGCUGUGGACACAAGCAGUUUAAUUGGAUCUUCCCAGGUGCUAGUUUUGUCUGAGGUGCUGAUGACCAACUUAAACCCUCAAUCACACUAGGCACAGCACUCUGCCACUGAACUACAGCUUUAUAAAUAAGAAAUGGGGAUCAGAAGUUCAAGGCUAGCCUGGGGUAAGAAUUUGAACAAGAAUAAGCAUACUUUCCCCCACUGGUCCCAUCUAGUGUUCCUCAGUGACGAAGGAGUGCUGAGCGGAAUCUACUUCCUGUGCUCCUCGCUUCCACGUGCAUCUUAAAGGUGUAUUUAAACUGUUCUCAAACACUUCUUAUACCUGGCAAAACCUUUAUUAUGUCUGGUCCAAACCCCCAUGUGAAAGAACAAAGUGGUCUCCAAAUUUCCAGGUCAUUGCCUGGAGGGAGAGCUGACAUCUACAGAAAAGUGUCCUCCUUGGAGACAGAGGCUCCUUGAAGGUGAAUUUGCCUCAUCAAAAUCUGACUGCUCUCAGCAGCACAGGUCCAUAGCUGGGAAAAUCUACAUACCCUGCCUACCAAGGUUGGCUUCUAUGCCAUGUGUGGCAGAUGUCCUUGAAGGGGAAAGAAAAUGAUUUCUGUGUAUAACUGCACACAAGGGGUAUUUUGCCACAGUGGAAGUGUCCUAAACUAGCCUUAUCUGAUUGUCAAGCCUUGAAAUGGGAUUAGUGUGACUGGCGAAAGCCAUAAACAUUUCAAGACAUCUUCAAAUGGUCUCAAGUUACCGGUGACAUCACAUCAUCUGAGUAUCAGUUCCUCAAGAGGAAUGGGCAGUCACUGUUGCCAAAUCACUGGGCAGCGGCCAGUAACCUCAGACACCUUGUUGAAGGCAUGCAACACGGAGCCUGGUAAAGAUAUUAUCCAGGAGGAGGCCUAGCUUACACCUCACUUGUUAAAAGUUCACAUUUGGGUCUAAGCAUGGAACUGUAGUAGACCGCCUUCUUUGUCUAUGUUGUGCCACCUCUUGAAGAGCAGCUCUGUUCUUAUUAACUCAGCAGGCUUUUCUAUCCACCUGUGAGCUAGGUUAAUAUGAUGGGACCUCUUAAACACUUAUGUGAGCCUCUAAGAUACAGACCUACCACCCCACGUAACUCCUAAAGUAACAUCCCACUAGGAGGCUGCUUACUAGUCUGGCUGUCUUUCUCCUAUUUUAUAGAUGCUCUGACUAGGGUAGAGUAAGCGACAUUCAGUCUGGUAAGUUAAACUUUUUUUAUUCUAGCCUCAAGGCGGAAGCUGCUUUGUGCUUUGAACACUUGGCUUCCUUGCCCAAGCAGCUUGGUAGAGCAUCAAAGAUGACUUCCCCAUCACACAGGGCUGGAAGUUUGUCCCUUUGUCCCUUUAAUGCCUUACUAUAUAGUCACUUCAGCUUGCUGUCUGUACAUUUCCCUUUGCAGAGGUUAGGCUGUAUGUAGACCUUUGUAUCUUUCCUGUCUUUCCACACAAGCCUAAGCAUGACCUGAAACCCCCAUCCCCCAAGGCUGGAAACAUGCUCUCUGUGGCUUUUGUUUACACAAUGCCAGUUGAUGGCAGGCAGUGCUCAUUAUGGGAUGCUCAACAGAUCCGGCCAUCAAUAAGAGACAGGGUAGAAUCCUUUCAUCCAGCUCUCCCAUAGGUGAUACACUCCACUCCACUCCCCUUAGGCACCUGGUCAGGUAGGUGGGUACAGGCCUGUGUCUACUCUGCAGUCUGCUCUUUAGGCUGGGCCAACCUUGGAGCCACACUUGUCUGUAUCCAAACGCUACUGUCAGUGUUUUGGGGUAACUUGAAAACUUAACUGCCUACCUAGCUGUCUUGAGAUUCCUUUCACUUAGCUCUUGAAGGCCCCUCUACAGUGGGACUGUAAUAACUUCACACGGUGCUUGCCGUUUGCUCUUGAAUCACCCUUACACUUAGCUCCACGAGUAACUGUUCCACAAUCCCAUGUACUCUUGUGGAUCUUGGCCAGGUCACAACACAGAGCAUGUGGCCUGAUGUCUGCCCACGUUUACAAGUGUUUUGGGAACCUCUGGUAUCAUCCCCCCACACCAGAUGGAACAGGCAUCUGUAUUUAAACUUUAUUACAAAAUUAUAAAGCAGAGCUCUGUAACAAAAAAUACACAUUUGGGUAUGCUUACCACCCAGGUGAGAGAAUCAAUGUAAGCCACUUGGAGCUAUACAUUUAUAUCCAAGAGAUCUCAAAUGUGUACAACAUAGACUAUUAAUUCCUUUACAGCUUGUUAGUUUAGAACCGGCUAUUCCAACCAGUCAGCAUCUUUGAAAACUAAGUCUCAACUAAAAUCUUGGCGCAAUCGGCAAAGUCCACAGAAUAAUUGGAAGGAUUAGGUGUUUCCACAUUAAUUAAGACCAAGGAUCCGUGAAGAACAGAAAAAGGGGCUCAGGUAUUUAAAAAAAAAAAUCAGUUUUUCUACCUGAGAUAUUAACUGGAAUGAGUUCCAACUUCCAUUUGGUUUAACAAUAAAAAGGUUAUUUGACAUAUUUUGGUUUUUUUCCUCCCAAAUGAAAACACCAAAGGUAGAGAUUUAAAGGUAAAUUCUCCAAAAUAAAUGACAUGGGUUCUGGUUGUUACUUGGGUUGCUAAUCACA